rnacentral:rRNA from 1 species
AUGGGAUGGUGUUGUGCAUGUCCUGGGACGGGAGGAAGGAGGAGCUGGCAUCAGGGAGCAUGGCGACAGCAAGGAAGUCCAUGCCGCGGCACGCCGGAAGCCGGAGGAACGCGCCGCCUUCACGCACGCGCCCUCCACCCCACAGCCGCCAUGGCCCAUGGCAUCGUCGCGCCCCCGUGCCACAAGGCCCGGCUCCCUCAGCUUCGCCGCCGCGCCCUGCGCCCAGCGCCGCGUCCCUGGUCACCUGUUGCUUCCCGCGCUGCCGCCGAUGGUCGAGGGAGGAGAGGGACCCCGCCGCCGCCGAUGGUCGAGGGAGGAGAGGGACCCUGCCGCCGCCAACGAAGGCCGAGCCCGCUGCGUCCCACGCCGCCGCUGCUACUCGAUGGAGGAGAGGGAUCUGUCAGACCCAGAUGGUCUGACGGACUAAAAUUCAGAAAUACACUCAAAAUUCAGAGAACUAGCACCUUCAGGGCUGAAUUUCAGAGGAAAGUUAACUAA